UACGUAGGGUGCAAGCGUUGUCCGGAAUUAUUGGGCGUAAAGAGCUCGUAGGCGGUCUGUUGCGUCCGCUGUGAAAACCCGGGGCUUAACCCUGGGCUGGCAGUGGAUACGGACAGACUAGGAGGUAGGUAGGGGAGAAUGGAAUUCCCGGUGUAGCGGUGAAAUGCGCAGAUAUCGGGAGGAACACCGGUGGCGAAGGCGGUUCUCUGGGCCUUACCUGACGCUGAGGAGCGAAAGCGUGGGGAGCGAACAGG
rnacentral:rRNA from 1 species